UGGGGAAUCUUGCACAAUGGGCGAAAGCCUGAUGCAGCAACGCCGCGUGCGGGAAGACGGCCCUAGGGUUGUAAACCGCUUUCAGCAGGGAAGAAACUGACGGUACCUGCAGAAGAAGAUGCGGCCAACUACGUGCCAGCAGCCGCGGUGACACGUAGGCAUCAAGCGUUAUCCGGAUUUAUUGGGCGUAAAGAGCUCGUAGGCGGUUCGGUAAGUCGGGUGUGAAAACUCUGGGCUCAACCCAGAGACGCCACCCGAUACUGCUGUGACUAGAGUGCGGUAGGGGAGUGGGGAACUCCUGGUGUAGCGGUGAAAUGCGCAGAUAUCAGGAAGAACACCAGUGGCGAAGGCGCCACUCUGGGCCGUAACUGACGCUGAGGAGCGAAAGCGUGGGUAGCAAACAGGAUUAGAUACCCCUGUAGUCC
rnacentral:rRNA from 1 species